rnacentral:rRNA from 1 species
AUGGCGUCCCCGCGUACGCCCGACUCGCCCCGUGGCCUCAUCUUCGCGCCCGGCGACGCCGACCUCAUCACGAUCUACCUCCAGCGCAAGAUCUCCGGGCUCCCGCUCCCCGUCGCCGCCGCCCCGUACAUCCACAACGCGGACGUGUACGCGGCCGAGCCCGCGGCGGUCGUCACCGGCCUCCUCCCCGCCUCGGCGAGCAACGACGGGGAGGGCAGGGAGUGGUACUUCUUCACCUCCGUGCGGGCCCAGAGCAGCCGGGACACCCGCAGGUGCCGCGCCGUCGCGGGUGGGGUCGGCACCUGGCAUUCGGAGAAGGCGCGGUGCGACGUGCUCGACGCGGGCGGCGCCGUCGUCGGGUACCGCCAACCCUUCACCUACGAGCCCAAGAACGGCUGGCUGAUGCUCGAGUUCAGCCAAGAAGACCCUCGCCCCGGUGAGGCCAUGCCCGCACUCUGCAAAAUCUACAAGAAGCGUCGUGCUGGCCGGUCCGCCUCGAAACCCAUUUCGUCUGGGUCGUCGUCGAUGUCCGGAUCCAAGAGGAAGGCGGCGGCCGCGGGCGAGCGCUCCGGCGAGGGCUCCUCGGCCCGCGUGAGGCGAUGCCUGCAGUUCCGUCCGUCUCCUGCCGCACCAAAUCCGCCCACCCUGGUUGCUACAUCGGGGAUUCAAGAAGCGUUCUUGCUUCCAGUCGAGCGGCCGCAGGCAGAGCAAGAACCGCAAGAACCGCCGGUACGCAGAGCACCCACAGCCACACCGCUGAUUCCCAGCUUCUCCAUGGGCGCCAACCCUUCCCUGACCUUCGACGGCACCGCCUUCCUCCGCCGCGCCCAAGAUUCGCCCACGCCAGCGAAUUCGGACCUGAGCGGCACGUCGACGGCACUGCUGGGCAAUUACGAGCUCGUCUCACCAGCCAGCUCCGAGCUGACCUGCUACAAUGCCAUGACUCCCCCGAGCGAUAACACCGGCGCUUGGGCCUUCCAGCCGUCCGCCCUGACCUCCUCCAAUGGCACCACCUCCCUCCUCCCUGGCCAAGAUUGGGCCACGCCAGAGUCGUCACAAGUCAGUGAGGCAUCGACGGUGGAGAGCUACAGCUGCUUCUCGCCCGACCACGCCACAUCCAGGCCCACCACACUGCCGAUCAGCAGCGGCACCGGCUAUUGUUGGUCUUUGCCGCAGUACAGCGAGCUAUCGGCAAUUUUUGGCGCCUGA